UACGAAGGGUGCAAGCGUUACUCGGAAUUACUGGGCGUAAAGCGUGCGUAGGUGGUGAGUUAAGUCUGUCGUGAAAGCCCACGACUCAAUCGUGGAACUGCCUUUGAGACUGCUUCGCUUGAAGAUGGGAGAGGUUAGUGGAAUUCCGAGUGUAGAGGUGAAAUUCGUAGAUAUUCGGAAGAACACCAGUGGCGAAGGCGGCUAACUGGACCAUUCUUGACGCUGAGGAACGAAAGCGUGGGGAGCAAACAGG
rnacentral:rRNA from 1 species